GCUGUGAUGUGUGCAGCUUUCAUCUGUGUCUCAUAGCAGUGUUUAUGUUUUGCAAUCAGAUCUUGCUACCCCCAUAAACAUGCAGCCAAAGAGUAAGUUGGAAUAAUAGUGUAGUGUUAUUUUAUUUGAAAUAAAG
ensembl:snoRNA small nucleolar RNA SNORA23